rnacentral:rRNA from 1 species
AUUGAACGCUGGCGGCAGGCCUAACACAUGCAAGUCGAACGAGUGGCGGACGGGUGAGUCAUGUCUGGGAAACUGCCUGAUGGAGGGGGAUAACUACUGGAAACGGUAGAUAAUACCGCAUACCAUCGGAUGUGCCCAGAUGGGGUUAGCUAGUAGGGGGGGUAAAGGCUCACCUAGGCGACGAUCCCUAGCUGGUCUGAGAGGAGGACCAGCCACACUGGGAAUGAGACACGGUGCAGACUCCUACGGGAGGCAGCAGGGGGGAAUAUUGCACAAUGGGCGCAAGCCUGAUGCAGCCAUGCGGCGUGUAUGAAGAAGGCCUUCGGGUUGUAAAGUACUUUCAGCGGGGCGGCGUUACCCGCAGAAGAAGCACCGGCUAACUCCGUGCCAGCAGCCGCGGUAAUAC